GUCACAGUGGUGCUCGGGAGACCGAGGCAGGAGGAUCUCUGAAACCCAGGGGCUCUGGGUGAUAGUGAGCUAUGAUGAUUUGGUGUCUACGCUAAGUUCAGCAUCAACAUGAUGACCUCCCGGGAGUGGGAGACCACAAGGCUGCCUGAGUUGGGGUGGGGAGUAGGGGAAACAGGCCCCUAGGUCAGAAAAGAAACAAGUCAAAAUUCCUGUGCUGAUCUGUAGUGGGAAUACUCCUAUGAAUAGCCACUGCACUCCAGACUGGACAGUAUAGCGAGACUCCAUCUCU
rnacentral:SRP_RNA from 1 species